CGGAACUUACCCCCCCCGCCCGGAUGUGACGCCACCGCCUCGGCACCUCCCACCGCCAGGCAGGCGGGAAGGCCGGCCACUGGAGGGAGCCCCGGCGGGGAGCGCGGGGCGGGGCCUCCCGGUCGCCCAGGGCGACGGCUUUCCGCCUUUCCCUACGGCUCCAAAGCCAGGUGCUGCUAAGAAAAGCCUAGACUUUCCGGGCCCCAUCUUCAAAAGAGCCCCACUCGGCAACCUCCUUACAAAGUCCGCUCAGGUAUGAACCUAAGUGGAAAGGAAGAGCAGGGUUCUGAGCCUAAGUAAACUCGACCCUGGUGGCCUAAGAAUUUGUCCAACUCUCUUUGGAGAAGGCUGGUCCGAGAGCCUAUGGAAGCAGAAAUGAGACUGUCAUCUGGGUGCUGGUCAGCAGGGGGCACUAUUGUACCUCCCUUCGCCCUAGUGAUGAAGCAGACCUUGUCUCAGACAAACCAACCGAGUGUUGAGAGCGCCACUGCAUCCCUGAGGCUGGUAGAUGGGAACAGAUAAUCUCUUGAUCCCGGGAAACGGGUGGAUUGACUCCUGAGAGCUUAAAAGCAUGAUGGGUGGGCGGAAUAGGGCCCAGUGCUAUUGUUUUCCUGGUAACCAACAAUACAACAACAAAUUGACAGGUGUUAUCUGUCCGUCCCUCCUCUCCCCAUCCCCCCUUACUUAAAAAAGGUGCAGUAACUCUCUGCCCUAACCAUUGCAUUCCUCUUUCCCCUUCCUUUACCCUAAUCAGCUUCUGAUUUCAUCUUGUAUUGGAAGGACCUUAGACACGGUUGCACAACAGUGCGCGUUUUUACUGCCGCUGAACUGUACAUUUUAAAAUAAUUUAAAUGGUCAAUUUUAUGGUAUGUAUAUUUUUCCACAAUUAAAAAAAAAGGACCUCGACAAACUCAGGGAGGAAAAAAACGAAGUUUGGACUAACCUUGCCGUAACCUUGACCUUUUUUGUUCAAGGAGUCCUAGCCAAUCCUAGGCUUUCCGGCAAGGCUUCUCAUAACCAGAACUCCCUGUGUAAACACGUGGUUAUUGACUCCCCCGUCUCUUCCCGUUAAAUCCACAUCAAAGUAAUAUGCUGUCUUUACCUGUUUAUUAAUCUCAAGAGCACAGUCUGGGCUGUGACACCCUCCCCCUAAAGAUACGUAUAUUGCAUUGCUGUUGACUUUGACCCUUCCUCACUACUUUCAACCUUGUUGCCUCCUGCUUAUUCAGUGCUUUCCCCAAUUCCUGUAAACACCUCACUUUCUUUCUUUGACCCUAUGAGGCAAGAGUCAGCAAAUUUUUCUGUAAAGGUCCAGAUAGUAAGUAUUUCUG